CCUACGGGCGGCAGCAGUGAGGAAUAUUGGUCAAUGGACGAGAGUCUGAACCAGCCAAGUCGCGUGAGGGAUGAAGGUUCUAUGGAUCGUAAACCUCUUUUAUAAGGGAAUAAAGUGCGGGACGUGUCCCGUUUUGUAUGUACCUUAUGAAUAAGGAUCGGCUAACUCCGUGCCAGCAGCCGCGGUAAUACGGAGGAUCCGAGCGUUAUCCGGAUUUAUUGGGUUUAAAGGGUGCGUAGGCGGCCUUUUAAGUCAGCGGUGAAAGUCUGUGGCUCAACCAUAGAAUUGCCGUUGAAACUGGGAGGCUUGAGUAUGUUUGAGGCAGGCGGAAUGUAUGGUGUAGCGGUGAAAUGCUUAGAGAUCAUACAGAACACCGAUUGCGAAGGCAGCUUACCAAGCUACUUCUGACGUUGAGGCACGAAAGCGUGGGGAGCAAACAGGAUUAGAUACCCUAGUAGUC
rnacentral:rRNA from 1 species